AUGAAAAAAAUCUUCGCGCAUACGCAUUCGCCUUCCUCAUCUACGCCACAGUGUGCUUUGGCCACGUGUCUGGAAAGAGGGAUUAAUCACGAUUCAUCCGCUGGAGUUAAGGUUGCUGGUUGUGGAAUUUGGAGCUGUGGAGAUUUGAGCUGUGCUCCAAAAGUGCAUGUAAAGGGUUCCCAAAUCGAAGUGAAGUGUGAAUGCAUCCUUCAAGCUGUGAUUAUAUACCUGAAUGAGAACCCUCAAAAUAUCAUCAAAGAGUACAUGGAUUUCAACGUGAUGGAAGCUGAAGAGCUCGAAAGGAUGGAUUUGGGGUGUUUAUAAAAUAAUCCACGAAGGAGCACAGCCUGAUGACUCCCUUGAAGAUGUUGGCAUCAUUAUCGAGAGAUGCACCGUCUUGCAGGAUCUUCACGAUGUGGCGAGCAGGUGUGCACUUUUGUUUGGGUUAAUUAACUGCCUCAAUCUGAGUUACCCAAAGCCACUUCGCUACACAUUUGAGUUCCUCCAGAAGGUGCUCAUGGGACUGGAAGACAAAAAACUGUCUAACAAAAUACAAGUGCUGAAGAACAAACUCUGCCAAAAGGAGACGCAAUGACUCUUCCAGAUCGAAAUGUCCCCCAAAAUAAGUGCUCUGUUUUCUUGCUGACUAAAAGUUUUACUGUUUAAAAGUUUAUAAAUAUAUAUAUGUUGAUCCUUGUUUGUAAACAUUUUGUCAUAGCUUUUAAUAUUCAAGAGAUUUACUGAAUGCUAUUUUUCGUUUGAUUGUGGAAAAGAAAACGUAAUUCAGAAACAGGGUUUUUUGAACUGGGGACAAAAUUACCCAGAUGGAUAUAUUUUCUUGUUUCACAACAUUUUCUUCAGUUUGAGUUGCUGUGGUAAUUCUGCAGACUGUAGCCAUUGCAGACCUACAACUGUAGAUCCUGAAAUCAUUCUGGCAGGUUUGACAUCCUACUCCUCACUACACUGUCACUUUGUUUAAACUGGAAAGUUGUUUCAGAUGUUUACAUUUUGUUUUACACACUUCAUUUAAUGUUGCUUUAUGCAGUGUUGUUUCCCUGUUUAAGCUUUGGGGCUU
rnacentral:lncRNA from 1 species